rnacentral:lncRNA from 1 species
AGGGAAAUAAAACAAAGUAAGAUACAAAGCAGGGCCAAAGUGGAUAAGGCCCUGCUGAGCUGUGUUGGAUGAUGUCAUCAGGGGCCUGGGGAGGCCAGCAAGGUGACUUGUGCAGACACCCGAGUCGGGUGUUGAUAUCUUCCUCCAUCCCUUUUAUCUUUCCUAAAAAUAUGGUUGGGAAGCCCUGGUCCAUCUGCAAAGGACAGGGGCAAGUUGGCCUAUGCGCUAGCAAUUGCUACAUAUUGUGAGAGCUCUUAAACCAAAGGUCAGGACACACCAAGUGAAUGUUUCCCUUCCAGAUAAGAAAAAUAUUCUGAGCACCUGCUAUGUGCCAAGCAUUGUGCUAUGUAGUGGGGGCACAACUGCAGGGAAACCAGACAUGGUCCCUCCCUGCCUCCUGGCAUUUAGAGCCAAGACAGAGGGUCAGAUUAUAAAUGAACACAGGCACCAUGAUUAUUUCAUCUCAAACUCUGGUUGGUGCUAUGGGAAAGGAGCAGUGAUCUUUGAGACCUGAGAGGGGGUCCUGAUGGAGCAGACACCAGCAGAAGGAUCCUUCCGGGAAGUGACGUUGAAGCUAAGCUUGAAAAGAAGAAGCCAGGGGACAUCUUCUGGUGAGAUCCAGAGCACCCCACCUGCAAGGGGCCUGAUCUCCCUUGAACCAAGAGCCCUGCCACUCGCCCCAGCUGCCUGAAGGCUGACAGGAGAAGAGGGAGUCAGAAUGGUGCUCCAAACAGAGCUCACUGGAAUCUCAGCUCAGCCAUUUACUCACUCUGUCAACUUGGGCUCUCGCUGCAGGUACCUGAGACUGUUUUCUCGCCCAUAAAAUUGGAAGGUGUUACGGGUUGAAUUGCUUCCCCAAAAAAUAUGUUGAGGUCUUAACCCCUUGAAAUGUGACCUGAGUUGGAAAUGGGAUCUUUGCAGAUGUCAUUAGUGAAGACGAAGUCACACUGGAGUAGGCUGGGCCCUAAAUCAAAUGGCUGUUAGUUUUAUAAGAAGAGGGAAAUUUGGACACAGACACACACAAAGAGGAACAACCAGCGUGUGAAGACAGAGGCAGAGAUUGGAAUGAGGCAGCCACAAGCCAAGGAACCGCUGGAGCUCCCAGAGGCCAGAAGAGGCAAGGGAAUAUCCUCCCCUAGAGGCUGCAGAGGGAGCACAGCCCUGCCACUGCCUUGAUUCGAGACUUCGAGACUUCCGGCCUCCAGAACUGGGAAAGAAGAAAUGUCUGCUGUUUCAAGCACUUUGGUUUGUGGUGCUUUGUCACGGCAGCCCCGGGAGUAGUACAGAAUUAUAACCCCUACCUUCCCUGAGGACUGCUUGUACAGAGGGUUCCCCAGGGUCCAGUUCUUAACAGACCCUCUUCGAAUGCCCUGCAGCCACCGCUGAUGUGCCGGAAGUCACUUCUGCUGGCUUUGAUGAAGGGAAGGAAGCAGAUGAGAAAGAGGGUGUAUAUGAGUGACUCAUUGAACCUAUUGUCUAUCCAUAGAGAGAGGGGACGAGAGAGUGCCUUGUCCCCAAGAUCUGGGCCCACAGUGGCCCCUUAAGUUCAGGCCCUCUCACCUGGGCAGGGGUCAGAAGCUUAAAGAAACAGCAACCACUGAAAGCCCUCAGCACUCCACUUAAGCCUCCACUCCAGAGCCUCAGAGCUGCC